UUUUUUUUUUUCCUUUGACACUGUCUGCAGCUCCAGAGGAAUUUAGUAAAACCUUUUCUUUCAGAAAAUGUAUUUUCAGCUCUGCGAGCGAUCGUAAGUCAGGCUUCUCAAAACCUAGAAACCAUACCUUCUGGAGUGGCUUUUAAAUGUGUUAAUCUGAAGAUUGUGGUAUCUAGUCAACAAGCGAGAUUUAAAACUGAUACUGUUGAAAUGAAGGGAUAGCAGUAAUCGCUAGUGUCAAUAAUAGCAUUUCAGUUCAGGAAGGAAUUUCUCCUGUGUUCUCUAUGUGUAUAUAUAGGUACCCGGCAAAGAACAGACCAAAAGGAGGAGGUGUUAAGCUGCUUCACUACUGGCAAUAUCCAUGUUAGAGUAAUAUAAAAGUACUUUCAGGAGUUUUAUUUUAGCCAUGUUUUGUGGCCCUGGUCAUUAGCCAGAUAGUGAAGCAAAGUUAACUCCUACAUUUUAUGUAUCUACAUUCUCAAGUGAGCUGUUAAUUUAGUCUAGACUUUACAGAUGUUGCUACUGUGUGUGUAUAAAGCAGCAUAGGGUGAUCAUUUUAAAUGCUAAUAAAACAGGGCAGUUUAGCACAUGUUAACUUCAAUGUGUUGAAGUCUAGAUCCACUACAGUUUGAAGUUACUUUCUAAACGAAGAUAUAAAUGGCCAAUCUAUGCAGGAGGUAUGUUUUACAGGCUAGAAUUAUAUGGUAAUUUUAUGUACCUUACCUCCUGCUUUGGAUCCGUGCUCACAACUUUCACAUUUAUUUUUCUCAUUUUGUAGCUGCAGUUGUUAGAAGCUAUAAAGAAAUCCACAUAGUGCUGCUUUAGAUCCCAGCACCUUUCUAUUGGAAUGUGAGUAUGUAUGACACUGUGUAAAUUCAUUGCUGGGCUGCUGCUUGGUCUGCAAAGCAUAGCAAGGAACUCUAGGAUACAGAGUCAUGGAGAAUAAAAACGGAGAACUGCAGAUCCAGGUGAAUUUUCUGUAUGUAGGCCAUGGUUUGCUUAAUGUGAAAUUACCACUUAACUGUGCUUGAGAGCAUGAGAGAACAGAGGGAAGAGUAUAGUUGCAAUACUCACUAAAUGCCAUCUGUAUCCAAUAAGGGCAAAGUUCUUUAUUCAUAAUCACUAUAACAUUGAAUGAAACUUCUAAGGAGUUUUUCAACAGAAUAUUUAAAACUUUUUUCUAAAGAGGCAAGGGCAUAAGAGAAUAGAUUUACGUGUCUGGGAUUUGUGUGUGUGUGUGUGUGUGUGUUGCUUUUGUAAAUGUGUACCAACUAAAGCUGUGCUUUUCUAUUAUUGGAAGGAAAAGGACUCAAAGUAUGCUGGCCCUUAGUAAGUGGCAAUGGUUAACAGAUGAAUUUUCACUUAUGAAAAUGAUGUAAAUGAUUAGCUUUAUCUUGAUACUCUUGACCUAAUCAAAGGGAAGGUGUACUUAUGGGGGAUGUAAUUAUUUUGCAACCUAGUUGGGGGGGGGUCUACUUAAAACGUUUUUAAAAAGCGACAAAAUCACAGAUAAAAUAUUUUUCUACAGUUCUAUACAAUCAUACUUUAUACUAGUUUUCUCAGCAUGGCAUGUAAGUGAGUCUGAGGUACUGUUCCAGGACCUUGUUCAAGACUAUUACAACAGCAUCUGUUAGAUGCUUGGCACUGCUGUCAUAGAACUGAAAUGCUAGUAAAAGAAAAAAAAAAAAAAAUUGUACUGAAUACUUUAAAUGAUUGUUUUAUUGAGAGUCUGAUCUAGGAAAUGUUCCAAUCAUGCUAUUAAUAUGUAAUUAGAACUGUUCCAGAUGUAACUAUGAACAGUUCUGGAAAGGUAUCACUGCUUGUAUUCCUGUCUAAUGGCAGGUUUUGUAGUCUUCAAAAGAAAUUGAAAUUUCUACUAUGAAUAAACUUGCAAACAUCUUAAAGUG
rnacentral:lncRNA from 1 species